UACGGAGGGGGGCUAGCGUUGUUCGGAAUUACUGGGCGUAAAGCGCACGUAGGCGGCUUUGUAAGUUAGAGGUGAAAGCCCAGGGCUCAACCCUGGAAUUGCCUUUAAGACUGCAUCGCUUGAAUUGUGGAGAGGUAAGUGGAAUUCCGAGUGUAGAGGUGAAAUUCGUAGAUAUUCGCAAGAACACCAGUGGCGAAGGCGGCUCACUGGCCCGAUACUGACGCUGAGGCACGAAAAGCGUGGGGGAGCAAACAGG
rnacentral:rRNA from 1 species